AAGAAGCCAUGUUAUCUAAGUUUC
rnacentral:siRNA from 1 species